rnacentral:rRNA from 1 species
AUUGAACGCUGGCGGCAUGCCUUACACAUGCAAGUCGAACGGUAACAGGUCUUCGGAUGCUGACGAGUGGCGAACGGGUGAGUAAUACAUCGGAACGUGCCCGAGAGUGGGGGAUAACGAAGCGAAAGCUUUGCUAAUACCGCAUACGAUCUCAGGAUGAAAGCAGGGGACCGCAAGGCCUUGCGCUCACGGAGCGGCCGAUGGCCGAUUAGGUAGUUGGUGGGAUAAAAGCUUACCAAGCCGACGAUCUGUAGCUGGUCUGAGAGGACGACCAGCCACACUGGGACUGAGACACGGCCCAGACUCCUACGGGAGGCAGCAGUGGGGAAUUUUGGACAAUGGGCGCAAGCCUGAUCCAGCCAUGCCGCGUGCAGGAUGAAGGCCUUCGGGUUGUAAACUGCUUUUGUACGGAACGAAAAGACUCUGGUUAAUACCUGGGGUCCAUGACGGUACCGUAAGAAUAAGCACCGGCUAACUACGUGCCAGCAGCCGCCGUAACAC